UGAUUCCUCCUGUGGGUGCUGUCA
rnacentral:misc_RNA from 1 species